rnacentral:rRNA from 1 species
UCUUCCUACGGGGCGCAGCAGGGAAUAUUGCUCAAUGGGGGAAACCCUGAAGCAGCAACGCCGCGUGGAGGAUGAAGGUUUUAGGAUUGUAAACUCCUUUUGUUAGAGAAGAUUAUGACGGUAUCUAACGAAUAAGCACCGGCUAACUCCGUGCCAGCAGCCGCGGUAAUACGGAGGGUGCAAGCGUUACUCGGAAUCACUGGGCGUAAAGAGUGCGUAGGCGGGGUAAUAAGUCAGAUGUGAAAUCCUGUAGCUUAACUACAGAACUGCAUUUGAAACUGUUACUCUGGAGUGUGUGAGAGGUA